GGUAGUCACUGUAUUUUAUUGGAAAACAUUGAUAUAUAUUUUUCUUCACAGCUUGAACUGAACACAAUAUUGCCCGGUUUAAAAAAAAACAAAACCAAAACAUUCCGAAAAUGUCCACAGCCUCACGCCUACCUGCCCUUACCCUCAGCUCUUGGCUGGGUCUCCCACUAUGCCCCGUCCCUCCUUCCCUCAGAGGCGAGGGCAAAAGGAAGAGAUGAGGGGCAUGGAGAGAGACUCAGGGAAGAAGGAGAAAGAGCAAUCAUGCAGCUUGGGACAAAUCUUUUGUUGCUUUAUCAG
rnacentral:antisense_RNA from 1 species